rnacentral:rRNA from 1 species
UGGGGAAUAUUGGACAAUGGGCGAAAGCCUGAUCCAGCCAUGCCGCGUGUGUGAAGAAGGUCUUCGGAUUGUAAAGCACUUUAAGUUGGGAGGAAGGGCAGUAAGCGAAUACCUUGCUGUUUUGACGUUACCGACAGAAUAAGCACCGGCUAACUCUGUGCCAGCAGCCGCGGUAUACAGAGGGUGCAAGCGUUAAUCGGAAUUACUGGGCGUAAAGCGCGCGUAGGUGGUUCGUUAAGUUGAAUGUGAAAGCCCCGGGCUCAACCUGGGAACUGCAUCCAAAACUGGCGAGCUAGAGUAGGGCAGAGGGUGGUGGAAUUUCCUGUGUAGCGGUGAAAUGCGUAGAUAUAGGAAGGAACACCAGUGGCGAAGGCGACCACCUGGGCUCAUACUGACACUGAGGUGCGAAAGCGUGGGGAGCAAACAGG